CAACAGUGUUUCUUUAGAUGGUAAGGAUCUUAUCUUGACAAGUUUAAAUCAGAUUAAUACACAGAAAUCUUAUUUCUAAAACUUUUUAAACAAAUUGCAUCGUUUGAAUAAUCGUUUUGGCGCUCUGAUACCAUUUAUUUUUAUUGAUUCCUUAAUAAUUUGUUUUAAUUAUUGUAACUUUGUUACUAUCUAUAUAUAUAUAAAUAUGUUCGAUUCUCUCAUGUGAUGCUACGUCAUCAAGUUGUGCGUUAUGGGAGUGACACGUGUCCCAUUUUAUAUUUGGGGCCAAAAUAAAGCAAAUAUUUAGAGAAAUGUUUCUCUCCUUUUCAGCCCGCCACGUCAUUAAGUCGUGGAAGGAGAGUGGGACACGUGUCCACCCUCUUUGAGUUUCGUUGCUUUUUGUGUGGCUUCAUUUUGGGCUUUACGGGUUUAAUUGUAGUGGCACACGACAUUCGUUAAGUGCCCAAUUGAAAUUGAUAGCCACGCUCUUCGUCUUCAAGAAAUUGCGACUCCAUUUCUAGGAUUUAUUUUGUUCUUCAGCCUCUGAUUUGUUAAACCGAUUAGUGGAGUUUCAAGAGUGUUAUGUGAGACAAAUAUUCACGGCCAAUUGCAGGUGCGAGCCCGUUCAUGUCGAUUCAUAUGGAUUUCUUCACGCCUGCAAAAGUUAACUUGAACCGUUACAGAGUGCAUUCAAACAUUGCCAUUAACGACAUUCUUAACUCCUUCUACCAUGAUUCCUCAUUCAAUGCAUCUUCUCUUUCUAUCAGUCGGUGAAUCUCAUUUAUAAAAAGGUUAGUCUGGAACCCGUGAACAUCAUCUUUUUAUUCUUCACAACCCUAAAAUCUUCGUUUAAGCAGAAUGCGAACUCUUAUGUCCUCCUUUCUGACUUGAAAGCCUGGCGCUGUAGCACCACCGUCCAAGUCCGUAUACUCAGAUUUUGGGCGGCAAUGAAUGUUAAAAAGAGACGGCGAGCUUAUGGGCUUCGAUAUGCUCCUCCUCGACAGAAAGGUUUUAGAGGAAGUUUUCAUGAAGGAUCGACUCACGGGGCGUUGGCUUUUGUUUUGUCGUCUUCAGAGACUCCAAUAUCACUCAGGGAGUCAUUCUGCACUAACAUGAUUUAUGGCAAAUAUGUACGUUUGACAAUCUACGGAUGAUUCCAUGAUUUUUGCUUUUAAAAAAGACUUCAUUUUUGUUUCAGUGAAGAGAAAGAGCAUACAUAUAUGUUUAAAAAAUAGAUCAACAUGUGUUGCCCAAAGUUGAUUGCUUUAGUGUCUUCUAUAGUGCUUUGUCUCUGUUGGUUCUUGCAGCAGCUUCUUUGUAGUUUUAUCUAUCAUUUAUGUAGUAGUUUCUCAAACGUUUUUAGACUUUAACUGCAAUAGACAACGAAUGUUACACUGUACAACUAACUCUGAAUCUGGUGGUUCUAAUUUGUUACAUUUCUGCCAGUUCAUGAUUUUAGAUUCGUUAUGCAAUAAUGGUACUAUUAUGGCAAGUAUGUAAUGUUAUUGUUAAUCUUACUUGUGUGUGCAAGCAGAAGCGAAUAAGGCAGUUUAAAGAGAUGAUGGCACAUCACUGAACAAAAGUAACAGUGGCCUCCAGGGAUCCCCAGGUCCAGCACACUCGAAAAACUAUUUAUGGGAGGGUUGGCAUCAUCAGUGAUAGAUACUGAUUUCAAGAAGUACUUGGCUCUGUUUGGGAUUAUGAUUGAUCUUGUGGUGAUGUAUGACCACAAAAUUUAGCGUCGGAGAGGCUUUGGCUUUGUUACAUACAACACAGAGGCUGUAGCUUGCAGAGGACGUUCCAUGAUCUUGAUGGUAAUACGGAAGAGUUCAAAGUGGCUGUCCCUAAGGCAACGUCUCCCAACCCAAACCAGACAUUAGCAGCUUAAAUAACUUCGAGAUUACCAGGAUGAGUAUGUUUCUCAACAACUACAUAUAUUUAACAUGAGCCCAAACUCAGCCCAUGGAGCAAAACUUGACGUUAGGUACAGUCCAGCAAUGAGUUUCGGCAGCAGCUUCUCUCCUUGUGGCCACUUUUCGAGAACAAGCUGAAUUUUAUCGAGGGAACCCAUAAUCAGAGUUAUAUUAGUAGAUCCAUUGAGUUUUUGGAAGGCUGUUUAGCCCCAUAAAUAAUGCAAGUCUUAGCAGUACGGUUGCUAAGGGAAUGGUUCUGUUAACAAAAAUUAACUAUAGGUAAAUAAUGGUGGUAUGAGUUACUUACCAAAAGCUGAAUUAAAUGGAGGGUUCAAUGUGAACUAUGGAGGAGGAAGCAUAGGAGAGAAGUCGAGAACAGUUGGUGAAAGUAUUAAUUAUGGUAGAAGCAAUGAAAUGGGUCUAAGAUCUACGAGAGGAGGAGUUGUUCAUAAGAGCUGCUCAGGUUGGGGAAUGUCGAGUGGGGGAGGCAAACGCCGUUUUGGAUACAUGAGCAACACAGAGGUAAGGUCUAAAGACAGCAUUUGCUCUUUAUGAUUGAAACAACGUGUUGGUCUGUGCAGCCUACAGGGAUCCUCCCUCCCAAAAUUCCAUCGAUUACUCAUCCUCAUCGCAUGGAAAGCCUCCAUAUACCUCCUCUGGACUGAACGCAACAACCGUCUCCAUCGGCAGCAGUUUCGGUCAACUGCGUCUCUCGAGAGGCAAGCCGACUUGCUCAUCAGAAACCGCAUCUCAGGCUUCCGAGACGAAAACCCCCGACUCUCCUCCACAAUGCUCCAGCUUUGGUUUGAUCGAUGAUCUUCUCUCGGUGUGACUCUCUGUUUUUCUCCGUCACUAACUACCUCUUCAUUUUCGGUUCAAUUGCAAUUCGAUUAGGGCUAGGCCCAUAGAUCCUUUUUGGUUACUAUCUUUCUGUAUUGGGUUCAAACCCAAAACAAUUGCCUUAGAGGCCAUUUAGUUUAUAAAAGUAAAGCCCUUUCUCAAAAAAAAAAACAACGUGUUGGAAUACUAAUGAACUGUAUUGUUGCAGGAAUUGCUUCUAGCUUCAAGAUUUGACAUUUCUACGCAUACGGACAUGAAAUGAUUUUGGAGUGAGUUUUAGAGAUAAUUUUUUGAAUCCCAUAAUUUUUAAUAUUUGAACUUCUUUGUUUUUUUUUUGUUUAGUCUCCAGCUUGGAUUUUUUAAAAUGACAAGUACAGAAUGGCACUUUGUAUUUUCAAUUUGGGUUGAGAAAAUAGAAAUAAGACAUUUGAGGGAGCAUGUUAAAGUUGCAUAACUAAAAUAGUGUUUGUUCCAUUUAAAUCAUCUCUAAUAUCAAAUCUUAUUUUUAAGAUUUGCACAAAAUGUUAUUCUCCAAUACCAGAACAUAAAAUCUAAAUUUUUGAUUGGUAACCUAUGGAAUAGUAGACUUGCGCUUAACAAAAUUAGUAGUAUACGGAAAAAAGUAUAAAAAUGCAGUUCUUUUGCUGACAAAAAGAUUUAAUUGAGUUUUCUGAAAAAAUGAAAUUUAUAAAUAUUAAACACAAAUAGAUAUGUAUUACAAACAGUGUUGAUGUUAUAUUAUAAUAAAUAGGCACUAAUUCAUGAAUUAUAUACAAAAUAUUAAAUUACUAAAUAUAAUUAAUUUUUAGUCUUUUCAUAUAUGAUCAUUUUAUAAUUUUAAAAGAUAUUAACCUUUUGUUAUUUAUAUGAAGGUUAUGAACUAAAACUGAUUGAAUUUAAGAUUUUUUACAUGUGAGAUAUUAAAUUACAAGGACAAAAAUAUUAAAUUAAAAUAAUAAUAUUUGUAAAAUAUAAAUUAGCUCAGCAUAUGAAUUAAUUUAAAAUACAAUAGAGUUUGGCAUCAAAUUGGCCAAUAUUUUUGUCCUUCACUGAUUUUUUCCUACACGACUUCACACUAUUAAUGAUGAUUAAGAGUUUAAUUAUAUAAAAAUGGUGAACAAAAGGGUCGAGAAGCUUUGAAAACUCUUUCUCAAUAGUCAAAAUAAAUUGAGAUUUUUUUUGAUAGUAACAUUGCAUUAAGCAUAAGUAUCUUCCAUAUAAUGUUCUAAAAAAUCAAAAAAAAAAAGGUUGAAAGAUUAAAAAAGGAAGAUACAAAAAGAAACCGAUAAGAAUAUCCAAACAUUGAAGCAAUUAUUAAAUGUCAAUUAUACCCAAACCACAUGUAAUUUAAAUACCAAAACUAUCGGUGACAUCAAAUGUGAGAAAGAUUUAAC